UUCCUGGAGGUCCAGUGGUUAGAACUUGGUGCUUUCAAUGCCGUGGCCCCAGGUUCAAGCCCUGGUGAGGAAA
rnacentral:tRNA from 1 species